rnacentral:rRNA from 1 species
GAUGAACGCUGGCGGCGUGCCUAAUACAUGCAAGUCGAGCGAACGGACGAGAAGCUUGCUUCUCUGAUGUUAGCGGCGGACGGGUGAGUAACACGUGGAUAACCUACCUAUAAGACUGGGAUAACUUCGGGAAACCGGAUCUAAUACCGGAUAAUAUUUUGAACCGCUUGGUUCAAAAGUGAAAGACGGUCUUGCUGUCACUUAUAGAUGGAUCCGCGCUGCAUUAGCUAGUUGGUAAGGUAACGGCUUACCAAGGCAACGAUGCAUAGCCGACCUGAGAGGGUGAUCGGCCACACUGGAAAUGAGACACGGUCCAGACUCCUACGGGAGGCAGCAGUCGGGAAUCUUCCGCAAUGGGCGAAAGCCUGACGGAGCAACGCCGCGUGAGUGAUGAAGGUCUUCGGAUCGUAAAACUCUGUUAUUGGGGAAGAACAUAUGUGUAAGUAACUGUGCACAUCUUGACGGUACCUAAUCAGAAAGCCACGGCUAACUCCGUG